rnacentral:rRNA from 1 species
AUGCACGCUGGCGGCGUGCCUCAUACCUGCCAGUCGAGCGAACGGACGAGAAGCUUGCUUCUCUGAUGUUAGCGGCGGACGGGUGAGUAACACGUGGAUAACCUACCUAUAAGACUGGGAUAACUUCGGGAAACCGGAGCUAAUACCGGAUAAUAUUUUGAACCGCAUGGUUCAAAAGUGAAAGACGGUCUUGCUGUCACUUAUAGAUGGAUCCGCGCUGCAUUAGCUAGUUGGUAAGGUAACGGCUUACCAAGGCAACGAUGCAUAGCCGACCUGAGGGGGUGAUCGGCCACACUGGAACUGAGACACGGUCCAGACUCCUACGGGAGGCAGCAGUAGGGAAUCUUCCGCAAUGGGCGAAAGCCUGACGGAGCAACGCCGCGUGAGUGAUGAAGGUCUUCGGAUCGUAAAACUCUGUUAUUAGGGAAGAACAUAUGUGUAAGUAACUGUGCACAUCUUGACGGUACCUAAUCAGAAAGCCACGGCUAACUACGUG